rnacentral:rRNA from 1 species
AGUGAACGCUGGCGGUAGGCCUAACACAUGCAAGUCGAACGGCAGCACAGUAAGAGCUUGCUCUUACGGGUGGCGAGUGGCGGACGGGUGAGGAAUACAUCGGAAUCUACUUUUUCGUGGGGGAUAACGUAGGGAAACUUACGCUAAUACCGCAUACGACCUACGGGUGAAAGCAGGGGAUCUUCGGACCUUGCGCGAUUGAAUGAGCCGAUGUCGGAUUAGCUAGUUGGCGGGGUAAAGGCCCACCAAGGCGACGAUCCGUAGCUGGUCUGAGAGGAUGAUCAGCCACACUGGAACUGAGACACGGUCCAGACUCCUACGGGAGGCAGCAGUGGGGAAUAUUGGACAAUGGGCGCAAGCCUGAUCCAGCCAUACCGCGUGGGUGAAGAAGGCCUUCGGGUUGUAAAGCCCUUUUGUUGGGAAAGAAAAGCAGUAGGUUAAUACCUCGCUGUUCUGACGGUACCCAAAGAAUAAGCACCGGCUAACUUCGUG